AAUCUCCGGACCUAAAACUGAAUUCAGCCCUGGUUUCACUGUCACUGAGUCCUGUCACUCUCAACACACCUGUAAAUGACAAGGUGGCAGUCAAAGUCCGUCCUGGUAUGCAUCAAGCUUUUGUAAGCCCAGGAACAGCAAACAUUUUGUCAACUCACGCAAGAAAAAUCAAUAUGGCAAACAGGAUGAUUUUCCACCAGUCAUCUUUGUUUGAAGACAUCAUGCCAAUAUCUGGU